rnacentral:lncRNA from 1 species
ACUCUCCAGGUCAUGAUGUGACCAAGGUUGCCCCUUGCCACUCCCAGCUUUAUUCUCACCAGCUCAGCAACCCCAGGGAAAAGGGAGCACCAAUUUCCAAUUGUUUCAGAACAAGGAAACUAUUGCUGCAUCCCAAGAGUCCCGCAUGCAGUAGCUCAUCAACUGGUCACAAGGACGUUAGAGGUACAUGCACCCCUCUGCAAACGAGUCCACACACAUGUUUUUACACAAUCAUGGCAUGUGAUCCGAAGGCAUGAGAUCUGCCUUCGUACAUGCAACAUGCAAUGGUGGAACGGCAUUACCUCUGGCUAGUGACCUCUCCUGGACUCAGCUAUCACCUCUGCAGAAAGGGGGCAGUAACAGGACCUGCCGCACAUCUGCUGUCAUGAAGACCACAUGAGCUAAUAUAUGUGGGAAGCCCUUAGCACAGCGCCUGGGAGAGCAUAAGCGCUCGAUGCAAGGCAGAAGAAAGGCGUGUCCUGGUGUGACAGGGCCCUUCCGACCAGGGCUGGUACUAAGGUGAGAAAAGCGAGGUGCCUACCGUGCAAAAUGUAAGGCAGCGUUCACUCUCAGAGCAGUGCACCUGCCGCUGGGUCCUCGGAGCCACAGAGCAGUCCCGCUCGCCCCCUGCUGGUCACUCUGCAGAAUGACGUCCCUUCCCUCUGCUCUCAGGGGUCCCUGAGCCUCGGUUUCUUCACCUGUAAGGUGGGGUAGGAGAAUCUGCCUCUCAGUUUGCAGGGCAAACAGGAGGCACUCCUCCAACAUCAGUGUCCUCCUCUCAAUGCCAGCACUUAAUGAGCACCUACUAUGUGCAAAGAAAGAUGACUGAGACAUGAUCCCUACCCUUCAGGGGUUUAGCGAGUGGAGAGGGGAGGAGGUAGGCUGGGAACAGUGACUAAAGUAAGACACUUGUCCCUAUGCAGCACCUACUGCUUACCCCAGAGCAGUCAGAACCACUGCCCUGGCAUCUGUCCAUCUGCAUAUGUUUACUAAGCACCUACUGUGUGCCUGAGCCCAGGCUCAGCUGUGGAUUUACAUGGAUUAAGGGGUUUAAUGCUGUCAGAACACAAGGUGGGUGUUCUUUUUAUUCCUGUUGGGAAGCUGAGGGCCAGAGAGGUCAUCUAGCCCAUCCAAGCUUGCACAGCUUGUAGGUGGUGGAGGUGGAACCAGAACCCCCAAAGUUCUAAUGUGAGGCUGGGAUUUGUGCUCUUAAACCGCUAUGCUGCUAUUGGCAGAUCCAUCCAUCCACCCAUCCAUCCACCUACCCAUCCAUCUAUCCAACCAUCCAUCCAUCUAUCCAUCCAUCCCCAUCCGUCCAUCCACCCACCCAUCCAUUCAUUCAACAAAUAUUCGUUGAGCACCUACUGAGUGCCAGACACAGUGCUGAGUGCUGGAGAGAUGCCAGUGACCAGAAAGACACAGCCCAUCCCUGCCCCCAGCAGCUGUUCACAAAGAGAGGAUGGGCAAUAAGCAAGACAAAUAAGUAAAAUAUAUGGCACUUGGUGAUUCUUGCUGUAUAUAAAAAUAGAGUAAAAGCUGUGCACGGUGGCUCACACCUGUAAUCCCAGCACUUUGGGAGGCUGAGGCGGGAGGAUCACCUGAUCCCAGGAGUUUGGAACCAGCCUGGGCAACAUAGCAUAGUACAGACCCUGUCUCUACUAAAAACACAAAAAAUUAGCUGGGCAUGGUGGCUCAUGCCUGUAGUCCCACCUACUUGGGAGACUGAGGUGGGAGGAUUGCCUGAGCCUAGUCGAGAUCGAGGCUGCAGUGAGCCGUGAUUGUGUCACUGAACUCCAGUCCAGGUGACACAGCGAGACCCUU